rnacentral:rRNA from 1 species
AUGGCGCCCUCCACCACCACCGGUGCUGUCCCAGUCCCACGAUGUCCUGUUAUCUUCAACGGACAGAACUACAGGGACUGGGUGCAGCACAUGAAGCUGCACAUGAGGGGCCAGCUGGUCUGGGAGCACCUCUCUGGUGCUCUGCCUUGUCCCCUGCUGCCCACUCCUCCAGCUGAGUUGGCCUUCCCUGUUGAUGCCGAUGAAACCAAGCAACGUGAGAUGCUAGAUGCUUUUGAAGAGGCCACUGAAGAGUAUCAGAAUCAACUCCACUUAUACAAGCAAUGGACAAAUGUUGAUGCUCGAGCCUCUUCUAUCUUGGUGAACAGCAUGGAUGUUGAUCUCACCAUGGAUGUGGUGGCCCUUACCACUGCAUAUCAGAUGUGGGAGCACCUUCGCCAUCGCUAUGAGUCUACAGGGGAUGCCAUGUAUCUCUCUGUUGUUCGUCAAGAGCAACAACUACAACAGGGAGAUGCUACUGUGGAUGAUUUCUACAAGGAGAUGUCGGCGGUGUGGCGCCAAUUGGACUCUCUGGGAGCUGAUGUUUGUCGCAGAUGUCAGUGUUGUGUGCGGCAACAAGCUAAGCUGGAGGUUCGUCGCCUCUAUGACUUCCUCACUCGCCUCCGGCCGGAGUUCGAGCAGAGUCGUGCUCAGCUAUUGGCACGCCAUCCUCGGCUCUCUACUCUGGAGGCCCUUGCUGAGGUGCGAUCUGAGGAGGUGCGCCUACGGAGCACGGGCUUAUUGCCAUCCUCUUCAGCAGUCCUGGCUGCCCGCGUUCCACCACCGCUGCCUGGUGUGCCCUCUUCUACACAGGUGGCAGCAACCUCCACUAGUGCUUUCUGCAACUACUGCAAGCAGGAUGGUCACAUGAUCACGGAGUGCAUCAAGAGGAGGAAACAGGGUCGCCGUGGUGGCCGUCCUCAAAAGGACUCGGGAGGCUCCUCUAAUUUUCGUGAGGGCUCCCUUGAGAAGGUUCACCAGGAGAUGCUCACCUUGCUGCGCCGCCUUAUUGCUUCUGCACCAUCCUCAGGUUCUGCUGGUUCUGCUGGUCAGACGUCUGGUCCACCACCGCACUCUUCGUCAGGUACAUCUUUGCCCUGGAUUCUUGAUUCUGGGGCCUCCUUCCACAUGACACCACACAGAGAUCAUCUUUGUGCUGUCAAUUCCGUGCCUUCUCUUACAGUUCAGACUGCAGAUGGCACUUCUCUUUCUGUUGCCGCAAGAGGGACUCUUUCCACGUCUUCUUUUCAUGUCCCUGCCGUUUCUCAUGUUCCUAAACUGACUAUGCAACUUCUAUCUGCUGGUCAACUUACUGACUUGGGUUGUUGUGUUAUUCUGGAUUCUGACUCUUGUUGUGUUCAGGAUCGUCGUACGGGGACUCUGGUUGGGAUCGGUCCUCGGCGCCAUGACUCUCAGCGCCUUUGGGAGCUCGAUUGGCUGCGCCUUCCUUCCGCUGCGUCCUCUAGCCAGUCGGACAUCACCACCCCUUUUGCUUCAGCUGCCACCUCCACCACAUCCUUCGCUCAGUGGCAUCAUCGAUUGGGUCACAUUUGUGGCUCCCGCUUGUCUUCUUUGGUUAGGAGUGGUGUUCUAGGGUCUGUAUCUGGUGAUAGUUCACUAACUUGUAUGGGUUGUAAGCUUGGCAAGCAGAUACAACUUCCAUAUCCCUCUAGUAAUUCUGUUUCUCAACGACCUUUUGAACUUGUUCACUCUGAUGUAUGGGGUCCUGCCCCCUUUGUUUCGAAAGGGGGUCACAAAUAUUAUAUAAUUUUCAUUGAUGAUUUUUCUCGCCACACUUGGAUCUACUUUAUGUCAUCUCGUAGUCAAGUGCUUCAAAUUUACAAGUCGUUUGCUACCAUGGUUCGCACUCAGUAUGAUUCCUCUGUUCGAGUUUUUCGUGCUGAUUCGGCUGGCGAGUACUUAUCUCGUGCGCUUCGUGGUUUCCUUGCUGAACAGGGUACCCUUCCUCAGUAUGGGUACCCUUCCUCAGUAUUCCUGUCUUGA